rnacentral:rRNA from 1 species
CACGGGGGGAGCAAGCGUUGUUCGGAAUCACUGGGCGUAAAGGGCGUGUAGGCGGUCAGGUAAGUGAGAUGUGAAAUGCUCCGGCUCACCCGGAGACCGGCAUCUCAAACUGUCUGGCUUGAGUACGGGAGAGGAUGAGGGAAUUCCUGGUGUAGCGGUGAAAUGCGUAGAUAUCAGGAGGAACACCGGUGGCGAAGGCGCUCAUCUGGCCCGAUACUGACGCUGAGGCGCGAAAGCUAGGGGAGCAAACGGG